AAUAAGAAACCAGGGAAGGGCAUCAGAAGAACGGAUAGGAUUUUUAAAACAUGGGAUCGACGAAGAACGAGGAUGGGUAAAAUAAAAUGGUCAUAGUACUCCGCUUUGGCAUUCUAUAAAUCAGCACUUCCAGUGACGAUGCUGCCGCUAGCGGCUGCCGUUGCCGCCGCAAGCGGCAGCGGUAGCUAGCUGCGAACUUUCGGUUUCCGCCUUCGGAAGGAGGCCCUUUUCAGACAUGGAGAUACAUCCUUAUAAGCCUGGCCGAUCUGCCCCGCCUCGAUGUCGCUCUCGUUCUCUGUCCGAUCCCUCAGCCCGGCGGCGAGCUUCACCGACAGUUGUCCGAGUGAUCAAUCAUGUCUGGCUGGAUGGGCUGCCUUUGCAAGAUACUGAUACUUCAGCCGGGGACCGACGCUCAGCCUCUCACCCCGAUGGAUAAGCUGAAGGAGACACACAAAAGGCAGAAGAAAAAGUCGCAGACCUACAAAAAGAAGGCUUCUCAAGAGGCUAGGAAAGAGAAGGAGUUCAGAAGAGCAGGAGAUGAAAGAGCUGCAUCUCGAUGCUCGGAGAUGAAGACGCUGUAUUACAAGCAGAUUGAGCAGCUCGAAAAUUCCCAAUUACAGAUUAGGAAAAAGAUAAUACUUUUGGAAGGAGAAAAAGCAAGAACUGAAACUGUGGAUGCUCUGGAAAGUGGAGAAGAAGAACUCAAAAAAAUGCAGGAAGUGAAGUACGUUCUACUUUUGUUUUCCUUUCUGAAUUCCAGAAUACUAAUUCUGUUGACAUUUGUUUCUUUCCAUGCAAUGUGGCAGCACUUUCUUAUUGCAGCUUCUUGAGCUUGAAUUAGCCGGGUGCUCCAUUAUGGUGCUUUCUUUUGCUCGUAGAGUAGACUGAUGUCUAUUUUUUCACAGAAAUACUGAUGAUGGGGACAGGACCGUGGAUGAGAUGAAUAGAGGAAUGGAUUAGCAUGAGGCUGAGCUUGAAGAACUGGAAGGAGCUGACAGGACUUGCUACUUUGCAGGCUGACAUGGCACUUUGAGCAGGUCAAUCUUCUCUCAUAUUUUCAAAAGCUAGUAUUGAGCAAAUCAUUGUUGUUGCAUGGGGAUUUUGAAGGCGCUAUUGGAAUCGGCUGAUAUUUUAUUACUAGAUAUGGUGAAAUUGCAUUUACUUGGGAGACAUACCCCAACAGUAGUUUCUCAAGUGUUCACCAUCUUACGAAGUUGGACCAUGCUUUUCAUAAUUUGCACUUCGAUCUUGAUUGGGCUUUUUUAUUUCGAUCUAGACAGUUUCGAUCUUCCCCUGAAGUACUAUUCUAGUGUGUCUAUGGAUGUCUAUAUCCUAGUCAUAUAUCCCAGAAGAGCAAAUGGAUGCCUGAUUUCAAUUUGUUAGCAAGGUUUCA